CCUACGAGGCGCUGAACCAGCCAAGUCGCGUGAUGGAAGACGGCCCUACGGGUUGUAAACCUCUUUUGUCAGGGAGCAAGGUGCAGGUCGGGACCUGCUGUGAGAGUACCUGAAGAAAAAGCAUCGGCUAACUCCGUGCCAGCAGCCGCGGUAACACGGAGGAUGCGAGCGUUAUCCGGAUUUAUUGGGUUAAAAGGGUGCGCAGGCGGAGGCCAAAGUCAGCGGUAAAAUCGCGGGGCUCAACCCCGCUCCGCCGUUGAAACUGUGUCCCUUGAGUGCGCGAAGGGUAGGCGGAAUGCGUGGUGUAGCGGUGAAAUGCAGAGAUAUCACGCAGAACUCCGAUCGCGAAGGCAGCCUACCGGCGCGCAACUGACGCUCAUGCACGAAAGCGUGGGUAUCGAACAGGAUUAGAUACCCGAGUAGUC
rnacentral:rRNA from 1 species